CUAGGUCAUAAAUAUGACAACAAGAACCAUCUCUUACUGGGAUUCACUUUAGACAGCUACAGCCAAUAAAUUAUUCUACAAGAAAGUUAGGUAUCUUUUCCAAUAAUCCAUUUGUAAAACAAAAAAAAUAUUAUGAAAAUGCAUUAGUGUCCCUCAAGAUCAGUUUACUAACCAAUGCCUCGAUGAUAAAAUGUGACUAGGGAUUUUCUGAAGGAAGAAAGUACCAAGCGAGGAAAGCUGUACAAGGAGGACAAUUGGAAGGAUCACUUUCCCAUGGCAAAAAAGAAAGUUCUAUAGGUAGUUUGCAACCACUCCCAAGAAAUUCAAGUGACAAAGACUCUGGCAGCCACGUUCGAUGACUAGAACAAUAAAGCUAAUUCUUUUGUUAACGGUCAUCCAACAUGGUAGCGAUGAUGUCAGUUAAUUAUAUGCCAGAUAGUUAGAUUUAUGGUAAUAUAAAUGUGCCAAAAUCUUGGUCUGCACUUAGUCCACACAAGCCCUAGCUCUUUUGACUGAACAUUUUCUUACACAUUUUAAUUGAAUCACUAUACAUAGGAUACACAAAAGCAAAAGAAUGAUUAUGAUUGUGGCGUCUUUGUCUGUAUGUUUGCAGAGCACCUCAGCAGAGGAAAAACUCCUAAUUUCAACCAGGAUGACAUUCCCUCUCUCCAUGAAGCGAUGAAAAAGCAGAUUUUACCACAAAUGCUACCAAACUGAAGGAGUGUACCUUCAAAAAAACUCAGAAGUUAUCAUCAAUAGUAAAAUAUUGAAUUUGCUUGCAAAGGAUUAGUCUCCAUACUUUCUUUAUCAGUUGUACAUGUACAUAUAUAUAACAAUUUCCCUCACUAAAUUAACACUCUAAAUCCAUUGUUCAGUUUAAACUUCCACAUAGAUACUGUCAUGUUCAUUGAAUUAUUGCAAUGGCCACAGAGCAUGAAUAGACCUUUACAGACACCAUGGACUUAAUCCAAUUACCUUAUACACAAACUGUCCUUCUGGCCGGUAGUAUUUUCAAGAUCCUACCGGCCAAAGGGACAAAAUCACAGAAAACCGAAAAUAUUUAACUGUAGAGUGAUUCUACUGUAAUAUCAAACUAGUGAACAAUGUCUCAAACUAUUUUACAAAUAAAAAUGCACACGGACUUAAGUCCAGUUACCUUAUACACAAGCUGUCCCUCUGGCCGGUGGGACUGUCAAGAUCCUACCAGCCAGA